UGCAAGUCGAGCGAGAAAGGGAACUUCGGUUCCUGAGUAAAGCGGCGGACGGGUGAGUAACACGUGGGUAAUCUACCCUUGGGUGGGGAAUAACUCAGGGAAACCUGGGCUAAUUCCGCAUGACACUUUCGAUACACACGUAUUGAGAAUCAAAGCUGGGGACCCUUCGGGGCCUGGCGCCUGAGGAGGAGCCCGCGGCCAAUUAGCUUGAUGGUGAGGUAAUGGCUCACCAUGGCUACGAUUGGUAGCCGGCCUGAGAGGGCGGACGGUCACACUGGGACUGAGACACGGCCCAGACUCCUACGGGAGGCAGCAGUGGGGAAUUUUUGUCAAUGGGGGAAACCCUGAACAAGCAACGCCGCGUGAAGGACGAAGACCUUCGGGUUGUAAACUUCUGUCGGAGGGGACGAAAGCUUUCGUGGUCAAUACCCAUGAUUGUUGACGGUACCCUAUGAGGAAGCCCCGGCUAACUCCGUGCCAGCAGCCGCGGUAAUGGGGGGGGCAAGCGUUGUUCGGAAUUACUGGGCGUAAAGGGCGCGUAGGCGGGCAGGAAAGCCUCUCGUGAAAUCCCACGGCUCAACCGUGGAACUGCGGGAGAUACUACUUGUCUUGAGUUCG
rnacentral:rRNA from 1 species